GGGGAGUGGAGUGUCAAGUCAGCAUGGCCUUUAUAUCCUGGGCUACACACACGCUACAAUGGCCAACACAAUAGGUUGCUAAGCCGCGAGGUGGCGCCAAUCCAUAAAGUUGGUCUCAGUUCAGAUUGUAGGCUGCAACCCGCCUGCAUGAAGAUGGAGUUGCUAGUAACCGCAGGUCAGCUAUACUGCGGUGAAUACGUUCCCGGGGCUU
rnacentral:rRNA from 1 species